GACGAACGCUGGCGGCGUGCCUAAUACAUGCAGGUAGAACGCUGAAGGAGGAGCUUGCUUCUCUGGAUGAGUUGCGAACGGGUGAGUAACGCGUAGGUAACCUGCCUGGUAGCGGGGGAUAACUAUUGGAAACGAUAGCUAAUACCGCAUAAUAGUAGAUGUUGCAUGACAUUUGCUUAAAAGGUGCAAUUGCAUCACUACCAGAUGGACCUGCGUUGUAUUAGCUAGUUGGUGAGGUAACGGCUCACCAAGGCGACGAUACAUAGCCGACCUGAGAGGGGGAUCGGCCACACUGGGACUGGGACACGGCCCAGACUCCUACGGGAGGCAGCAGUAGGGAAUCUUCGGCAAUGGACGGAAGUCUGACCGAGCAACGCCGCGUGAGUGAAGAAGGUUUUCGGAUCGUAAAGCUCUGUUGUAAGAGAAGAACGAGUGUGAGAGUGGAAAGUUCACACUGUGACGGUAUCUUAACAGAAAGGGACGGCUAACUACGUG
rnacentral:rRNA from 1 species